GACAGAGGUGCCGAGCGUUAGGCGGAAUCACUGGGCUUAAAGCGUGUGUAGGCGGAUCGUUAAGUACCUUGUGAAAUCCCACGGCUCAACCGUGGAACUGCUGGGUAUACUGGCGAUCUUGAGCCACCUAGGGGCGAGCGGAACAAGCGGUGGAGCGGUGAAAUGCGUAGAUAUCGCUUGGAACGCCGACGGUGAAAACAGCUCGCUGGGGUGUGCUGACGCUGAGACACGAAAGCCAGGGAGCGAACGGG
rnacentral:rRNA from 1 species